rnacentral:tRNA from 1 species
GCGGGCGUAGCUCAAUGGAUAGAGCAACGGUCUUCUAAACCGUAGGUUGUGGGUUCGAGCCCCGCCGCCCGCG